GGUAUAUGAUGAUUUCCACCUUCUGCUAAGAGGAGCAGUGUCUACUCCACACUACUGUAACACACAAUGUAGUGCAGGAUCUUUCAAUAAGACUCAACAUUCAUUUCUAUAUUAUUCUCUAUUUCAAUAUUCAUUUUCUCAUCAUCUGUAAAGUUUAACCACCAAACAGUCUCCUUUUCUACCCCAUAGAAAUAAAACUGAAUUGAAUUGAACACCUGAAACACACAUGACCCGAGUUCCUGCUGAAGGAAAAAUCACCACAAUAGAACAUAAAGCUUCAUUUGACUGAAGAUAAAUGUGAAGGCAGUUUGACGCAGGUCUACGUGAUGAUGUAAUGACUGUAUUUAUGGUGUCGUUUAAAACAUCUGUGCCUAGAAAGCUCUUGCUUCCUUUCCCCUGAUUAUAUUCUGAGCUAAAAGAGCAGACGAUCAGCUCCUGUCAGAGCACCUGGCUGAUAAAAGAUCAAUCUACUUAGGAAGAAAAUAAUGAAAAGCUUACGUCAUUGCAGAUCCAUAAAUCCAGCUGUACACUGCAGAGAGUCUGCAAAGUAGCCGAUCUGCUCCAUAAUCUUCAUCACCUGGAAAAGAGUUCUGUUCUAACCUGUAGACUAGAGAUCUAGGUCUGUAUCUUCAGGAGGUUCAGACUGUAGGAAAGGGGCUGAUGGGAGAAGUGCUUGGAUGUUCUACAAGGCUGUGGGUAACUUCCUGUCUCUAUCUAAACAAUCUAUGACUUUACUGGUUUGAAACAUAAAGGUUUUAUUUGUCGGAAGUUGCUUUAUAGUCCCGUGUGUUAAAUGCUGAAAUAAUGUAGAACAUCUGGAUCUGGUAAAUGAAUCAGAAUUGUUUAAAUCUUUAAUAAAAGACGAGGACACACACACUGGGCCUCAUUUACCAAUCCUUUAGUAAAGUUGUGUGUGAAUGUUUGCACAGACCCGGGCGUCCUUCUUUUACACACUGCCGUUUCUUCUUAAUUGAGUGACGAGUCAUAUUUAUAUUCAUUUACGGAUUUGUGUUGACUUGCGCUCGUUAAUUAUUUUCUUCACGUUUAAAAUGUCUUUAAUUGAAGACAUGAAACAGCUGGUUUCACUAAAAUCUCAUUCCAUGUGUUUGUACAUUUGUACAUGUGUGACUGAAAUCAAUAAGAUCUAUAAACCUGACAGCAUCAUCUGUAUAUAAAAGUGCAGUAAUCCAUGACAAUUAUACGGACAUCAGCGAGGAGGUAAGGAAUAUUGUGCUGUUGUUGUGAUUGUUCAUUUCUGAAAGGUUUUGUUCCUAUUUUCUGACUGAAUUCUGGUUUAUUUUCAGGACUCACCAGAAGAUUCUGCUAACAUCAGCAUCCUUCCUGAAGCACGUGGCUCUGAGAAGAUUGCACAUGUACAGUCGGCCAUGUUAGACGUUAGCAGUCCAAGAGGUUCCUGCCAGUAUCUGCUCUGAAGGUGAAGAGUGGAGGACCAGGACGACCCCACUAACAAAUCAAAAGCAGGUCAUUAACUUGGUGGAGGACUUUCAUUCCACUGGCCCACUCACGUCAGAAUUCAGUGGAGCUCAAUUCACAGCAGAGAUGGAAUCUGUUCUAGAUAAUAAUACACUGCUUUUGUCCUUUGAGUCUCGGAGCAUUGGGCACAGCAGGCUUUGGUUCUACAGUGAUACAGUCACGGUACAAAACCCUCUGUUACACUACAGUGACCACACACACACACACACACACACACACACACACACACAUACGCGCACACACACACACACACACACACACACACACACACACACACACACACACACACACACACACACUCACACGUUUCCAUAGAGAGAGGUUCCACUUUGCAUUAGCAGCUCAUGCUUCAGCGCUCUGCGAGUGUUUAUAGCCCUGUGACUUUAACACUUCAUGACUGAGAGCUGCUGCUCAGCGACUUCACCCACAGCAACCAUGAGUUUGAUCAGCGUCUUCAUCUGCACACUGGCCCUCUGCGCACGAGGAUCCAGAGGUCAGGUGACUGUGACUCAGAGUCCUGCAGUGAAACCUGUUUCUCCAGGAGAGACACUCACCAUCAGCUGUAAAACCAGCUCUGAUGUUUACCGCUGGAGUGAUGGAGAUGAAGGAAUAUUCUGGUAUCAGCAGAAAGCUGGAGAAGCUCCUAAACUCCUGAUAAGAUAUGUGAAGAAGUUAGAGUCAGGUAUUCCAGCUCGUUUCAGUGGCAGUGGAUCUGGAUCUGAUUUCACUCUGACCAUCAGUGGAGUCCAGACUGAAGAUGCUGGAGAUUAUUACUGUCAGAGUUAUCAUAGUGGUAAUGUGUUCACACAGUGUUAGAGCGUCGUACAAAAACCUGUGUGAGUGUGACUGCUGCAGCUGGGACCUACUGCAGGUGCUGAGGGGGACGAUGUGAUACAGCACAAUCACACACACACACACACACAAUCACACACACACACACACACACACACACACACACACACACACACACACACACACACACACACACACACACACACUCACACGUCCACUGCAGGAUAAAUUUGAUGAAGGUGAAUUUACAGUAAGUUUAUAUUAUUGAGCUGGCUUUGCUGAAUCAUACAGCUGUGUAUCAUCAGCCUAGCAGUGGAAGCUAACAGCAUGUUAAUGGAUCAUUUUACCCAGAGGUAGCAUGUACAGGGAAAAGCAGUGGGUGUAGAACAGAGCU